AAAUCUUCUCAUUUUAGAGAGUGC
rnacentral:siRNA from 1 species